AUUGAACGCUGGCGGCAGGCUUAACACAUGCAAGUCGAGCGGAGAGAGGUAGCUUGCUACCGACCUUAGCGGCGGACGGGUGAGUAAUACUUAGGAAUCUGCCUAUUAGUGGGGAAAACAUCUCGAAAGGGAUGCUAAUACCGCAUACGUCCUACGGAAGAAAGCAGGGGAUCUUUAUGACCUUGUGCUAAUAGAUGAGCCUAAGACGGAGUAGCUAGUUGGUGGGGUAAAGGCCUACCAAGGCGACGAUCUGUAGCGGGUCUGAGAGGAUGAUCCGCCACACUGGGACUGAGACACGGCCCAGACUCCUACGGGAGGCAGCAGUGGGGAAUAUUGGACAAUGGGGGGAACCCUGAUCCAGCCAUGCCGCGUGUGUGAAGAAGGCCUUAUGGUUGUAAAGCACUUUAAGCGAGGAGGAGGCUCUUUUGGUUAAUACCCAAGAUGAGUGGACGUUACUCGCAGAAUAAGCACCGGCUAACUCUGUGCCAGCAGCCGCCGUAAAAC
rnacentral:rRNA from 1 species